rnacentral:rRNA from 1 species
AUUGAACGCUGGCGGAAUGCUUUACACAUGCAAGUCGAGCGGCAGCGCGGGGCAACCUGGCGGCGAGCGGCGAACGGGUGAGUAAUGUAUCGGAACGUACCCAGUCGUGGGGGAUAACUAUCCGAAAGGAUAGCUAAUACCGCAUACGUCCUGAGGGAGAAAGCGGGGGAUCGCAAGACCUCGCGCGAUUGGAGCGGCCGAUAUCGGAUUAGCUAGUUGGUGAGGUAAAGGCUCACCAAGGCGACGAUCCGUAGCUGGUCUGAGAGGACGACCAGCCACACUGGAACUGAGACACGGUCCAGACUCCUACGGGAGGCAGCAGUGGGGAAUUUUUGGACAAUGGGGGCGAACCCUGAUCCAGCCAUUCCGCGUGAGUGAAGAAGGCCUCGGUG